CACAUGCGCAGCAGCUCCCGCUGCUGAAUAGCUGAGAGGCGCACCUGGGCGGCCAGCUGGGCUCGGAGUACAGCGGGGUCAGGGUGGACGAGGACGUGUUGCACCCUCAAGAGCCUCAUCAUCGGCGAGAGUGGGGUGGGCAAGUCCAGCCUGCUCUUGAGGUUCACAGAUGAUACCUUUGAUCCAGAACUUGCAGCAACAAUAGGUUCACCUGCUUCCAGGCGGGCAGGGCGUUGUAUUCAUCCCUCGUCAUGUCUAGUGCAAACUGGAAACAUUGGGAGAAGCGCCCCGCGGCUCAGAGAAAGGAGCCAGGUGUGCGUGUGUUGUCUUACUCCCAUCCCCACCCCACCGGAAGAACUGCUUACCUCGAAGUCUUCGUCAGUGAGAUAGAUCUCAAGCUUCAGAGGAUCGACCCCCUCCGGGAGUGGCCUGGCCAGGAGGUCGGCCAGCGGGCCUGCACAACAGUAAAUGGCCCCGCUGCUAACCCCCAAGAUCUAUAGUGAAUACACAGGGAGGAUGGUGAGUUAUAUCCUUCUGAAAGUGGCUCAACUGUGCCACAGAACUGAUGUUUAUGAUUUCUUUGGAAUAAAGAUCAAAAUUAACUCCUAUUCUUGAAAUUCGAGAAAGUUAUAUUUGUCUUAUCUGAGUUCCUUUCUCAGGAAACCAACCACCAGGCAUCUCCGAUAGUAUCAAAAAGCCAGCAGUGGCUCAUGCUUGUAAUCCCAGCACUUUGAGAGGCUGAGGUGGGCAGAUAGCUUGAGCCUCGGGAGUUCAAAACCAGACUGAGAGACAUGGCAAAACCUCAUUGAAAAUACAAAACAAAUUAGCCAGGCAUUAUGGUGUGUGCUUGUAGUCCCAGCUAUCUGGGAGGCUGAUGUGGGAGGAUUGUCUGAGCCCAGGAGCUGGAGGUUGCAGUGAGCUGUGAUUACACCACCGCACUCUAGCCUGGGCAACAGAGCAAGACCUGUCUCAAAAAACAAAAACAAAACCUGAAGCUUACCAGGCCCCUUACCCAUCAUGAUGCCUAACCAACCCCCUGCUUCCUGUUGACCAGCUCCUCUUCCUCACCCCUCCCUAAUUCCAGUUUCCCACACAUGGUUACAUUUCUUCCCUGCUAUAAAAACCCCUAAUUUUAGUAGACCAGAGACACAGAUUUGAGACUUAUGUCCUGUUCCCCUUGGCUGUAGCACCCAAAUAAACUUUCUUCCUUGGCUGUGCUUGUCUCAGUGAUUGGCUUUUUUCUGUGUAGUGAGCAAUAAGCCCCAGACUGAACCCCUGGCAAUUUGGUAACACCUGAACUUAGACUGCAUGCAGCGGCCACAGAGCUUGUAAUCCCUAGAGCCUUCUGGUCUAACGAAACCAUAGUUACAGUGAACAGAACCAUCUUAUUCUGGCUGCGGCAGAGACCAAGCUGAAGUCAGCCCCUUCCCUGUGUACAUCAAGUCCAUUUGGCUCUAGGGAGACAGGUUAGGGUGAGCAGUGAUGUCUGUACUACCCAACAGCCCCUCUCCAUUGCUAAGCAGAAGUAGAUUCUGUUUGUUUAAAAUUACUCGAAUUUCCUAUAAAAUACACUUGGGUCAUUUCCCCAAGCAAAGCAGCUCUCCUACAUAGUAAAAAAAAUCAAAACGGUAAAAAACCUAUCUCUCACCAAAUCAAAACAAAUCCUUGGAUUUGCUAUCGCUAGCAAUGUUAAUAGCUCAUAUAUAAGAAAUUCAACAUAGCUAUAGUAAAAUUCUUUCCUGUGUGGUUGGAAAAGAAAACAUUCUAGAUUAUAAUAUAUUUUGGUAGAUAGAAGUUAUGAUAAAUGCCUCAUGCAGAAAUACCAGGUGGUCUCAUAAAAGACAAUAUUAAUGAGAUGUUGAGCGAUCCCUUAUCAUAAGGGAGUCGCGGCACCUCCAUUCAUUCAGUUUUCUGAACGUACUAAUUCAUCAGAUUUCGUUUGUGUCUCCUCUACACAAGGUUAACGUCUGAAACAUGAGGGUUUGGCUGUGUGUCACAUGGACACUGAGAGACAAGCAAUGCCAAGCAACAGGUUCUUAGCAAACAGAAUGAAGAGUUCGCAGCUUUUAUGUACAUAUAUAGUUCUCAGCAUGAUUAAACUCACCUUUGCUUUUAAGUUUUUAAAAUUUGGGUAUCAUGUGUGGAAAAUUACUAAAAUAGCUAAUUGAUUUUCCAUUAGACUUCUCUUCUUCCUAAGCAAAUUCUAUGUAGAUUUGUUAAGAUGUUGCAAAAGGAAAAAUAUUUUCCCACUCUGAAAGUGCAAUUGGAUGCUCUCCCCAAAGUCAAGUCAACCCACAAUCCAAAAGGUGCAGGAGCCACCUUCACAGGGCAGGAAAGCGCGCUCACCAUCUCUGUGAUCUCAGCGACGUCCUCUCUGUGCUCCCAGCUGGGGAACAUAUUGGUGAAUGUCAGCGGCUCCAGACCAGCGUGGAUAAGGCGCAUUAGAGGGAGCCUCACCUUUGCAGUACUGGAGCACAGUCUCCAUCGCGCUCUUCCGGUCAGAGGCCCAGCGGAUGCGGGCAGAACCAGUGAUCUUGUUCUCGAUGGGCCACCAGCCUUGCCAGAGCUCAAGCCCCUGGCCCUUCUGGAUACUGGCAGGGCUGUGCUAAGAGUGGAAGGGAUAAUGCAUGUGCCACUCAAGGGACUGUUAGCACCACGUAUCUCCGAAGAGCACAGUCAACACUGGAGCACACAUCUCACUGCAGACAGCAAUGGCAGUCGACCGGUGACCAUGCAGCAACAAGACUGAGAGGAAGGCUGAGAGAAGAGCAGAGAUGCCAAGCCUGCCACUGUGGUGCUCAACCUGUUCUUAGCUGACGUCUUUGGAACAUGAACUUCAUGAGGACAGAGACUUGGGCUUAUUCACCACCACGUCCCCAGUUCCUAACUCCAGUUCUUUGGAGUUGUUAGAAGCAGGUUGCCCAAAGUUCAUGAUGCAGAAAAACCAUUUUUCUGAGAUUUAUAGGAUAAGUCCUGUAAGUCCAGAUUGCUUGGCGCCAAUCAGGUGCUCAAUAAAUGUUUGUUGAGUGAAUACGUGAA